rnacentral:rRNA from 1 species
UACGUAGGGGCCUAGCGUUGUCCGGAUUUAUUGGGCGUAAAGAGCUCGUAGGCGGUUCGGCAAGUCGGAUGUGAAAUCUCCACGCUUAACGUGGAGGGGCCAUUCGAAACUGCCGUGACUCGAGUCCGGUAGGGGAGUGUGGAAUUCCCGGUGUAGCGGUGAAAUGCGCAGAUAUCAGGAGGAACACCGGUGGCGAAGGCGGAUCUCUGGGCCAUUACUGACGCUGAGGAGCGAAAGCGUGGGGAGCGAACAGG